rnacentral:rRNA from 1 species
GAUGAACGCUAGCGGGAGGCCUAACACAUGCAAGCCGAGCGGUAUUUGUCUUUCGGGACAGAGAGAGCGGCGUACGGGUGCGGAACACGUGUGCAACCUGCCUUUAUCUGGGGGAUAGCCUUUCGAAAGGAAGAUUAAUACCCCAUAAUAUAAUGAAUGGCAUCAUUUAUUAUUGAAAACUCCGGUGGAUAGCGAUGGGCACGCGCAAGAUUAGAUAGUUGGUGAGGUAACGGCUCACCAAGUCGAUGAUCUUUAGGGGGCCUGAGAGGGUGAUCCCCCACACUGGUACUGAGACACGGAACAGACUCCUACGGGAGGCGGCGGUGAGGAAUAUUGGACAAUGGGUUAGCGCCUGAUCCAGCCAUCCCGCGUGAAGGACGACGGCCCUAUGGGUUGUAAACUUCUUUUGUACAGGGAUAAACCUACUCUCGUGAGAGUAGCUGAAGGUACUGUACGAAUAAGCACCGGCUAACUCCGUGCCAGCCGCCGCCGUAA